rnacentral:ncRNA from 2 species
AUGGUAUAUAAUGAAUAGUGCUUGCAGGCGAGCGGCAAAACGGAAGCCGGUGUAAAUCCGGAGCAGUCCCCGCUGCCGUGAGGGAGCUUUGCGCGCGUCGUAAUGUCACUGAGGAGAAUUCCUGGGGAAGGCAGGCGCCGCAAGGGGCUGUAUCAGAGAAAAAGCCCGGAUCCCGAGCCGGAAGACCUGCCCCAUCGGCAAGCAGGCA